rnacentral:rRNA from 1 species
CAGUAGCCGCGGGAAAACGAAGGGUGCAAGCGUUACUUGGAAUUACUGGGCGUAAAGCGUGCGUAGGUGGUGGUUUAAGUCCGUUGUGAAAGCCCUGGGCUCAACCUGGGAAUUGCAGUGGAUACUGGGUCACUAGAGUGUGGUAGAGGAUAGUGGAAUUUCCGGUGUAGCAGUGAAAUGCGUAGAGAUCGGAAGGAACAUCUGUGGCGAAGGCGACUAUCUGGGCCAACACUGACACUGAGGCACGAAAGCGUGGGGAGCAAACAGGAUUAGAUACCCCAGUAGUCCCUGUCUCUUAUAU